rnacentral:rRNA from 1 species
UGCGGAGGGAUCAUUACUGAGUUUACGCUCUACAACCCUUUGUGAACAUACCUACAACUGUUGCUUCGGCGGGUAGGGUCUCCGCGACCCUCCCGGCCUCCCGCCUCCGGGCGGGUCGGCGCCCGCCGGAGGAUAACCAAACUCUGAUUUAACGACGUUUCUUCUGAGUGGUACAAGCAAAUAAUCAAAACUUUUAACAACGGAUCUCUUGGUUCUGGCAUCGAUGAAGAACGCAGCGAAAUGCGAUAAGUAAUGUGAAUUGCAGAAUUCAGUGAAUCAUCGAAUCUUUGAACGCACAUUGCGCCCGCCAGCAUUCUGGCGGGCAUGCCUGUUCGAGCGUCAUUUCAACCCUCAAGCUCUGCUUGGUGUUGGGGCCCUACAGCCGAUGUAGGCCCUCAAAGGUAGUGGCGGACCCUCCCGGAGCCUCCUUUGCGUAGUAACUUUACGUCUCGCACUGGGAUCCGGAGGGACUCUUGCCGUAAAACCCCCCAAUUUUCCAAAGGUUGACCUCGGAUCAGGUAGG